CCAAGACCGUGGGAUACUGCCUUGAUAGUUCUCUGAAGCAGAUUUAGAAGUUAUCCUCAGUUCCAAUUUCUGACAUGAACUAUGAAGAAAGCUGUAUCUGCUCAAGAUCCCAUGCCGCAGAUUUAUGUAGCUGAAACUGCUGAAAACUCACUGCUAAAACAAAGAGGGGAAAAGGCUGAUUUCCAGAUUUUUAUAAGAUAAACAUCAAACAAAUUCCCAAGCGAAUGGAUUGCAAUGCCUCUAAAAACACGUGGAAACAAGGAUUACUUCUGUUCAGGAACAAGACAAGUGAAGGACAUUUUGCAGGAGCCAAAUUCCAGACAACUGGUAAACUCUGUAGCAACAGCAAAAAAAAACUCCAGCUUUCCAUAUAGCUUCCAGCUACCUCUGGUACAGGAGACAGUGAAGGCUGUGUGGUGAUGUGGGCUUGAAACCCAGCAAGUCCUAGGGUAUAUUCUUACUUCUGCUACAGGCUUGCUUUGCAACCAUUCAUUAGUUUCUGGAGAGGAACGGAAGAGUUUGAUCUUACUUAAAAUAAAUUCCACAGCAUAUCACCUUAGGCAAGCUUCUGUAUAAAGAUAAUAAUGUUUACUCCUUAACUUUACAAGGGUACUGGGGCUGUUAUUACAGCUGUAGCACUUUGACCGUGGAAAUGCUACGUUGUCAUAAUUUUCUGUCCUUCACUCCGUUGUGUCUAAAGGAGGACUUUGAGAUUUAUUGUUCUCAGCCAUCCCUCAUUCCUGGUGCUGAAGACAUCAAGAAAUGGUGGUUGAACUAGGUGAUCUUAGUGAUAUUUUCCAAUCUUAAUGAUUCUGUGAUUCUGCACUUCUGUGAAAUCAUGCUCACCUGUUCCAAAAGUUUGUGGGUGAAUAUUAAACAAAGUUCAGGCUUUGACUCCCCUUUGGUCCAUGUUACUGCAAUGCUAGAAGAAAAGGUAACCAGGUGAGAGGCUGUGGCUCAAGGAUGCAUAAUCCAUUGCCUUUCUCUGGGUAUCAGUGACACUCACAGAAUCACAUUCUUGGAAAAGCUGCUCCUCUGAGACUGUUGAUUUUCUCCAUUUCAGGAUCAGUAUUAUCAAACAAACUUGUUAUUUCUUCCUUCGGGGACAGAUUUCUACUGCAAAUAAGUAUGGCUCAUAUUCUGUCAUCUUUAGAAUUGUAACCCACAUUUUAUUGCUUGACAUGAAAAUGCUAUUUUCAACACUUCUAUCUUAACUAAGUCAGAGCCUGCAUUUACUUUGUGACUACAAACUUGGAUGCAAGUACAGAACUCCUAUACAGUCCCUUUGUAUACUUCCAGAAAUUCUGAUAGAUAAAACAGUCCUCCAGUUAAAAGAUAGCUUAAGAAUUCUGUGGGUUUUUUUUUAAUGCUUCAACUCUUACUUGCUAUUUGAAACCCUCAAGAGUCUCAGAUGAAAUUCUGGCCUGAGCAGAGGUCCCAUUGCCUUGCUUUGUCACACUGGAGCACUGAAUUGUCAUCAUUUUUUAAUUAUUAUUAUUUUUUAAGAAAGGAGAGAAAAGCAGUGGAGCAUUCUGCUUCCCAGUUGUUAAAUACAUAAAUGAGACGGUCAGCCACGAGGGAUUGGGACAGGAGGGGGGCUGGAAGAGAAAUCUCAGUGGAAAUUCAGUAAUCACAUUUCUCUUUUAAAAUAGCUUCGCAAUAGUUUCAAAAGACGUUAUUUAUAGAGCACCACAUGUAAUAGGAGUUUAGCAAGCAAGGCAGACGGAAGGCUUCAGUCCCAAAGCAUGGCUCAGUAUUCAGUGAGAGAACUACUGAAGACUGCCUGCAGCGUUUUAGCAUCCCUGAACUCCCACACUUGCCUGCACGUUCUUACCCUCUCAUCACCUCUGUGUUGGCAGAUCCGACCGAAAAACUAACCCCGGUGGUAUGUUUUGGUGAGAUAAGUUCCUCGGUCUGAUUCAUCACCCAGAGGCACAAGGGCAG
rnacentral:lncRNA from 1 species